GACGAACGCUGGCGGCGUGCUUAACACAUGCAAGUCGUACGGUAAGGCCCUUUCUUUGUUGCACGAGUGGCUGACGGGUGAGUAACACGUGAGUAACCUGCCCACAACUUUGGGAUAACUCUAUGAAACUGAUUCUAAUACUUACUAUGUGCUCCUUCUUCAUGGAUGGUGGUGGAAGGCUCCGGUGGUUGUGGAUGGACUCGCGGCCGAUCAGCUUGCUUGUGGGGUAGGGGCCUACCAAGGCGGCGACGGGUAGCCGGCCUGAGAGGGUGAACGGCCAACUUGGGACUGGGAUACGGCCCAGAAUCCUAAGGGAGGCAGGAGUGGGGAAUAUUGGAACAUGGGGGCGAGGCUGAUGGAGGCACGCCGCGUGCGGGAUGAAGGGCUUCGGGCUGUAAACCGCCUUCCGCAGGGAAGAAGCUUUUUGUGACGGUACCUGCAGAAGAAGCACCGGCUAACUACGUG
rnacentral:rRNA from 1 species